AUGCUGCCUGGCCUGCUGCGUUCCUGUGUGUGCGGCUUGGACUUCCAGCUUCUGCAGAUUUUCUCUUGUUUGUGAGACAGCUGUUGAAGCUAAAAUAGAGAGAGAAGAUCUCGACAAAAUCACAGGCAGGAGUUGCUGGAAGAUUUCCUCCCCUCGGUGGCAUUAGUGAGUCACUGAAGUUGCCUGAUUUUAAUGUUGACUUCCCCGAUCCAGGAAACGGUUACUCUUCCAUUUCCCCAGCAAAACUAGACACUACCAUCACAGGAGAAAGAGGGAUAGUCGGCACACCACAUCUGAAGGUAACCUCUCUCCCCGAUGUGUUCCUGAUCAUCACUGCCAUCCUGUUUGCAGAGACAAUCAAAGAUUUCUGAAGUUCAGGUCUCACCAGCACUCCUGCAGGCAUUGAAUCCGACCUGAUACACGAACAUUCCCAUCAAUAUGAAUGGAGAAGAAAUGGAUCAAGGGACCACAACAGGUCGAGUUGCGAUCUCGGCACUCAACCCGGCAUGGAUGGAAAGCGUACUCAGGAGCGGCCCCAACUGGAUUCAAACCCAGGAACCUUCUUUCCGGAGUCUGGUGCUGUUGUCAUUGCACCACCAGCCGGCCAACAAAGAAGAGGAUUUAUAGUACGUCUGGAGCCAGAGGAUGUGCGUGAGGAGAUGAAGAGAGAAGAUGCUGCAGAGAACCGGUCAUAGGAUUCAGUCUGAUGGGGACCAUGAUCCAAUGGAGCAAGGUGUGGGAACCUACUGAGGAUCAGUGAAUAUGACUUUUGGAAAAUCUGAGCUCCACCCUGGGCACAUUUGACUAUUUAAUUAUAAUUAUAAUGGGCCCUUUUUGUUUUUUUUUCUUUCUUUUCAUUACUAACUCUUUAAUAUGCAGAAAUACACUUCCUUUAUAUGCAGUGUGCGGUCUGUUAUUUCUUGGCAACAAGCUGUAACAGGGCAGCAAAUGACACAGCAUUCACACAAACCGGGGCUUGGGUGGGAGAGACAUCCUGCUCUCACAGAUUUGGCAGGACUCGGGGGAGUACGAGGCCAGAGAACAGUGGGCUUCUCAGCACUGCCAGCGAGGGCUAAUGAUCCAUUUCCUGAGAUGCUUGGGAAGAAAGGGGUUCACAGGGAUGCAUACUGGCGCCACCCUCUUCAGCAUGAUGUUGACUGAAGCAUUCCAGGGCAGUAUCCUGGAAUCCAGGAUGGAUGGCAAGCUGUCCAACCUGCACAGGCUUCAAGCUGUUACUGAGGUUGAAGAGACGGUGCUGAGAGACUUCCUAUUCGCUGACAACUGCGCUCUCAAUGCAAGCUCUGAGUCCGACACGCAGGACAACAACACCAACAAAUUUUCCACUGCAUGACAACUUCGUCUCAUCAUCAGCACCAAGUCAUAUCCCAAGCAGUCCCAAUCAACCCUAUGUGGUCUAUCCAUCUUGGUAAACGACUAGCAGCUCCAGCCAGUCGACAAAUUCACGUAUCUUGUCAGCAUCCCCUUAAGAGCCGUACACGUUGACAACGAGGUCAGCUGCAGGACUGCCAAGGCUAGUGCCAGUUUAUGGAGACUACCAUACCAUAUGGAGACUGUCUGGGGGUGGGGGGGGGGAUGAUGUGGAAUUACUUUGAAGACCACCAUGCUGUCAUUCUACCCACCCUCCUCUAUGAAUACGAAAUGUGGAUUGUGUAUAUGCUGCGUUUUGUGCGGGGGACGGGCGUUUGAGGUCGAUGUUUGUGUUGUGUUCUGUUAGUUUUUUGUGCGGGGGACGGGGGUUAGGAGGUCGAUGUUUGUGUUGUAUUCUGUUAGUUUUUUGUGCGGGGGACGGGGGUUAGGAGGUCGAUGUUUGUGUUGUAUUCUGUUAGUUUUUUGUGCGGGGGACGGGGGUUAGGAGGUCGAUGUUUGUGUUGUAUUCUGUUAGUUUUUUGCGCAGGGGAUGCGGGUUUGGAGGUCGAUGUUCUUGUUGCGUUUUGUGCAGAGUGGGGGGGUUUGAUGUUUCUCUCUGAACGACUUUCAUGUUCAUUCUUUGUUUCCUGGCUAUCUGGAGAAGACAAAUCUCAGGGUUGUAUAAGGAUAUAUACUUUGAUAAUAAAUGAACCUUUGAACCCUUUUUCGUUCUUCAGCUGCAUCAUCAAUGACCUUCCCUCCUUCAUAAGGUCAGAAGUAGGUAUGUUCACAGAUGACUGCACAAUGUUCUGCACCGUCGUGAGUCCUCAGAUAAUGAAGCAGUUCAUACCCAAACGCAGCUGGACCUGGACAAUAUCCAGGCUUAGGCUGACAAGUAGCAAGUAACAUUCAAGCUAUGCAAGCGCCAGGCAAUGACCACCUCCAACCAGAGAGGCUCUAACCAUCGUCCUUUGACAUUCAACGGCACCACCAUCACUGAAUCCCCUACUAUCAACAUCCUGGGGGUUACCAUUGACAGGAAACUGAACUGGUCUAGCCACAUAAACACCGUGACGACCAGAGCAGGUUAAAGGUUAGGAAUCCUGCGGCAUGUAACUCACCUCCUGACUCCCCAAAGCCUAUCCACCAUCGACAAGGCUCAGGUCAGGAGUGUAAUGGAAUACUCACCACUUGCCAGGAUGAGUGCAGCUCCAUCAACACUCAGGAUGCUCGACACCAUCCAGUACGAGGCAGCCCAUUUGAUUGGUACCCCUUCCACAAGCAUCCAAUCCCUCCACCAUCGACAAACAGUUGCAGCAGUGUGUACUAUCUACAAGAUGCACUGCAACAAUGCACCAAAGUUCCUAAGGCAGCACCUUCCAGACCCACGACCACUAGCAACUAGAAGGAUGAGAACAGCAGAUACCUGGGAACACCACACUUGGAAAUCCAGACUUGGAAACAUAUUGCAGUUCCUUCACUGUUGUUGGGUCAAAAUCAUGGAAUUCCCUCCUUCGCAGCACUGUGGGUGUACCUACACCUCAGGGACUGCAGCGGUUCAAGAAGGCAGCUCAUCACCACCUUCUCAAGGGCAACUAGGGAUGGGCAAUAAAUGCUGGCUUAGCUGGCGACACCCACAUCCCGUAAACGAAUAAAUAACUAAAUAAAACGCAGCGAGUAGAGGCCCAGAGCUGUCAAACACUCCUCAUAUGUUCACUUUUCAUUCCUAGAAUCAUUUUUGUGAACAAUUUCUGGCCCUUCUGCAAUGCCAGCACAUCUUAUAUUAGAUAACAGGCCCAAAACUGCUCACAAUACUCUCAGUGUGGUCUGACCAAUGCUUUAUAAAGCCUCAGCAUCAUAUCCUUGCUCUUAUACAAAAUUCCACUUGAAAGGAAUGCUACAUUGCAUUUGCCUUCCUCCCCACUGACUCAACUUGCAAGCUUUAGGGAACCCUGCACAAGGACCCCCGAGUCCCUUUGCACCUCUGAAUUUUUAUUUUUUCUCCUCACUUCAAAAAUAGACAAUGGCUUUACUCCUUCUACCAAAUGCAUGAGCACACACUUCCCUACUCUAUAUUCCAUCAACUACUUUGCCCAUUUUCCCCAAUCUGUCCUUCUGCAGACCCUCUCUAACUGAACAGUAACUGAUAGAGUUUACGUGCAUCUGGAAAGGCAUUAGGGAUAGUCAGAAUAGCUCUCUGCAGGGAGGUCACCCUUCACAAACUUGGUAAGUUUUUUGAGGAGGGGGCAAAUAUGGUUGAUGAAGGUCCCUUUCAACAAUAAGUACUCCAUGUUGAGUACUGUUAGGGGGGGGUACAACCUACUUGGAGGAAGCAACAGCAGCUGUGCCUCUGGCACAGAUCUGGCCCUGUGGCUCAGAAGGGUAGGGAACAGAAGAGGAUGGCAGCAGUAAUAGGGGACUCUAUAGUUAGAGCAGUGGUCCCCAACCACCGGGCUGUGAGGAAACGAUAUGAUUUGGCAAUAUGAACCACUAUGAGUCAGCUGCACCUUUCCUCAUUCUCUGUCACGCCCACUGUCGAACUUGAAUGCACGCGAGGUCCGCAACAAUAUUGUCAAUAUUAAACCGGUCCGCGGUGCACAAAAGGUUGGGGACCCCUGAGUUAGGGGAACAGGUAGGCAAUUCUGUGGAUGUGAAAAAGAAACAGGGAUAGUAGUUUGCCUUCCAGGUGUCAGGGUCCGCAGUGUUUCUGAAUGCAUCCGCAGUACCCUGAAAAGGGAGGGCGAGCAGCCGGAAGUCGUUUUACAUAAUGGUACUAACGACAUAGGGAGAGAAAGAGGGGAGGUUCUGAAAACAGAAUACAGGGAGUUAGGAAGGAAGUUGAGAAGCAGGACCUGAAGAGUAGUUAUCUUGAGACGGGACUGCUGCCUAUGGUAAGCAACAGUGAGGACAGGAAUACAAUGAGGUGGCAGAGGCAGAUAAAUGCGUGGCUGAAGAAUUGGAGGAGGGUGCAGGGAGUCAGAUUUCUGAAUAACUGGGACCUCUUCUGGGGCAGAUGUGAUCUGUACAAAAGGGACAGGUUGCAUUUGAAUCCAAGGAGGACCAAUAUCCUUGCGGGCAGGUUUGCUAAAGCUGUUGGGAGUGGUUUAAACUAAUAUGGGAGGGGGAUGGAAACCAGUACGAUAGAGCUGAGGAUGAGCCAGAAGGUUUACAAGUAAAUGAUGGGUGUAACAUGAAUGUAAGGAAGGACAAGCCAAUGACUGGGUACCAAUGCAGACAGUGCAAAGAGGUAAAUUGUCUCCACAAAGGCAAAAUUCAAAAGGACGAAAAAUGCAGGACUGAAGGUAGUAGGUGGAUGAACUUGUGGUGCAAUUAGAGAUUGGUCAGUAUGAUGUUGUGGGCAUCUCUGAGUUGGGGCUGAGGGUCACAGUUGGGAGCUUAAUAUCAAAGGAUAUAAUUUUUAUUGUAAUGACAGGCAGGAAGGCAUAGGCAGUGAUGUGGCUCUGUUGGUAAAGAGAUGGAAUUACAUUUUUUAGAAAGAGGUGACACAGAGUCAGAAAAUGAGGCAUCCUUGUGGCUGGAGUUAACAAAUCGCAAGGGUAAAAAAAAAAGCAUUAUGGGAAUCACAUAUAGGCCUCCAAAUAGUAGCCAAGAUGUGGGAUUGAGAUUGCAAGGGAAGCUGGAAAGGGCAUGAAAUAAGGGUAAUAUCACAAUUGGCUUGAUAACUGAAGACAAAAGGUUAUGGUAGAGAUGUG